GCAGAGCUUGCUGCACGCUUCAGAACUGCUUAUUGAAUCUGCAGGAAGCCUGAAUUCAUCUGAGGAGAGACCUGCACCGUAACUGGAAAUUAAAGAUAUUUCUCCCUACCUCACAGGCAUCUCCAGAUCCAACCAAGUGGGAUGGUGUUGGUCUUCCUGGCAUUUCAUCAGCAACCUGAGAGAGAAGACUUGUGCCUUCACACUCUUUUAUGCACCACCUGGUUCUGCCCUUUUGGACCUCUCCAGAUAGCUUCUGUGGGGACCAGAGGCAAGACAGGAAUCAAAAGCUCCAUGAGGAAUCCAGAGCUACUGCAUGGAUGUCCACCUUGGUGAAAUCUGACCAGGGCAAGUCUUCAGUAUGCCUUUUGGAGGAGUUUCCCAGGAAUGCCUAUGGGCAAGUGUGGAGAGGU